GACGAACGCUGGCGGCGUGCCUAAUACAUGCAAGUAGGACGCAGUUGCGAACGGGUGAGUAACGCGUAGGUAACUACCUAUUAGAGGGGGUUAACUCUUGGAAACGAUAGCUAAUACCGCAUACUAGUAGAUGGACCUGCGUUGUAUUGGCUAGUAGGUAGGGUAAUGGGCUAGCUAGGCAACGAUACAUAGCCGACCUGGCAGGGUGUGCGGGCAGACUGUGACUGGGACGCGGCAGAGACUCCUACGGGUGGCAGCAGUAGGGAAGCUGCGGCAUUUGGGGGAAUCCGGACCGGGCAGCGCCGGGUGAGUGAAGAAGGUUUUCGGAUCGUAAGGCUCUGUUGUUAAGGAAGCGGUACUUAGCCAGAAAGGGACGGCUAACUACGUGCCAGCAGCCGCGGUAAUUC
rnacentral:rRNA from 1 species